CCUACGGGUGGCAGCAGUGGGGAAUAUUGCACAAUGGGGGGGACCCUGAUGCAGCGACGCCGCGUGAGUGAAGAAGUAUUUCGGUAUGUAAAGCUCUAUCAGCAGGGAAGAAAAUGACGGUACCUGACUCAGAAGCCCCGGCUAAAUACGUGCCAGCAGCCGCGGUAAUACGUAGGGGGCAGGCGUUAUCCGGAUUUACUGGGUGUAAAGGGAGCGUAGACGGUUCUGCAAGUCUGAAGUGAAAGCCCAAGGCUCAAACAUGGGACUGCUUUGGAAACUGGAAAACUGGAGUGGAGGAGAGGUAAGCGGAAUGCCCGGUGUAGCGGUGAAAUGCGUAGAUAUCAGGCGGAACACCAGUGGCGAAGGCGGCGUACCGGAGUCAAACUGACGUUGAGGCUCGAAGGCGUGGGGAGCAAACAGGAUUAGAUACCCGAGUAGUC
rnacentral:rRNA from 1 species